GCGCACUUAGCUCAAAUGGUCAGAGCAUCACUCUUGAAAGUUGAGGUUGUGGGUUUGAUUCCCACAGUGCACA
rnacentral:tRNA from 1 species